AGUGAAGCGGCAACAGCUCAAAUUUGAAAGCUGGCCCUUUCAGGGUCCGCGUUGUAAUUUGUAGAGGAUGAUUCGGCGAGGGCUCCCGCCUAAGUCCCCUGGAACGGGGCGUCAUAGAGGGUGAGAAUCCCGUAUGCGGUGGGCUGCCUUAGCCAUGUGAAUCUCCUUCGACGAGUCGAGUUGUUUGGGAAUGCAGCUCUAAAUGGGAGGUAAAUUUCUUCUAAAGCUAAAUACCGGCCAGAGACCGAUAGCGCACAAGUAGAGUGAUCGAAAGAUGAAAAGCACUUUGGAAAGAGAGUUAAAAAGUACGUGAAAUUGUUGAAAGGGAAGCGCUUGCAACCAGACUUGUCCGCAGUUGCUCAGCCGGUCUCCUGACCGGCGUACUCUUCUGCGGCCAGGCCAGCAUCAGUUCGGGCGGUCGGAUAAAGACCUCGGGAAUGUGGCUCCUCUCGGGGAGUGUUAUAGCCCGGGGUGGAAUGCGGCCAGCCUGGACUGAGGAUCUCGCUUCGGCAAGGAUGCUGGCGUAAUGGUUGUAAGCGGCCCGUCUUGAAACACGGACCAAGGAGUCUAACAUCUAUGCGAGUGUUUGGGUGUCAAACCCAUACGCGUAAUG
rnacentral:rRNA from 1 species